AGGAUUCUUGUAGUAAUUGCGAAUGAACAGAGAACUGCUCAAAUGACAACCUGGACCUUUGGUCCUGGAUUGCACUGUUAAGUCACAAUGCUAAUGAAAGUGUGCAUGUAAGCCUUUUGGGGAAAAGCAACAUUGAAGGUGAAAUUCCUGUUUGUCAUGUGCAAUCUUUCAUGUGUGGCAUGUGUCUUAGAAUCGUGUUCCUUGGAAGUGGAGCGCAAAGUUGGUGGUAGAGUUCAUCUAAAGCUCAAUAUUGGUUUGAGACCGAUAGCAAACAAGUACCUUGAGGGAAUUGUGAAAAGGACUUUGAAAAGAAAGUUAAAAGAACAUGAAAUUGCUGAAAUGGAAGCAAAUGAAACUGAUGUUGCUCAGUGAAAUUGCUGCUUGGAUGGUGUACAUCAAUGGGUGCAUUCCUUGCAUUUGUUGUAGCAUGAUUCUGCAGUGUGUUUUGCUGAGUAUGUCAUGAUUAUUUUUUCUGUCAAUGAAUUUUGAGCAGCAGAGAAUUUUCAAUCCUGAAAAUGAUGCUGCUUGAAUGCAGCAGUGAAAGUAAUUACUUGAAACUUGGUUGCUAUGAGCUUAGUGCUGCACCAAUGUUUUUUGUGAUGUGGAUGUAUCAUUUGACCCGUCUUGAAACACGGACCAAGGAGUCUAAUGCAUGUGCAAGUUUGCAGGUUUAUGCUGCUUGGCAAAAAGAAAAUAAUUGUUGGAAUUUGUGCACUGACAGCCAACCAAUCAAUUAUGAUAGGUUUGAGUUUGAGCAUGUGUUUUAGGACCCGAAAGAUGGUGAACUAUGCCUGAGAAGAAUCAAUUCAGGGGAAACUCUGAUGGAAGCUUGCUGUGGUACUGACGUGCAAAUCGUUCGUCAUACUUGGGUAUAGGGGCGAAAGACUAAUCGAACCAUCUAGUAGCUGGUUCCCUCUGAAGUUUCCCUCAGGAUAGCUGGAAUUGUUGAUUUUCAUCAUGUAAAGCGAAUGAUUAAAGGCAUUGGGGGCGUGUUGUCCUUGACCUAUUCUCAAACUUUAAACGGGUAAGAUCCAAUGGUUGUUUGCCAAACCAUUGGGAUAAAUCACAAUUCUAUGUGGGCCAUUUUUGGUAAGCAGAAUUGGCGAUGAGGGAUGAACCUAAUGUUAGGAUAAGGUGCUGCACUGCUCGUUGAUCAGAUACCAUAAAAGGUGUUGGUUCAUUCAAACAGCAGGACGGUGGUCAUGGAAGUCGAAAUCCGCUAAGGAAUGUGUAACAACUCACCUGCCGAAUGGACUAGCCCUGAAAAUGGAUGGCGCUCAAACGGGUGACUGAUACUUAGCUGUUGUGGUAAAUACUAUGCAACAGCAAGUAAGGGGGUGCAACAGCU
rnacentral:rRNA from 1 species